GUAUAUUUAAAACGCCAAAAAUGAAUACAAAAAGAAUCCCACGAUGAACAAAACGUAAAAAUUUUACAUUAAGAAAAAAUCAAUAACCAGGAUAGCGCCCUCUUACCUGCAGCCCACGAUGUUACUAAAUAAAAUGAGAUUUAAUUCUGCUCCCUUAGCCUUAUUCCUUUUGAAUUUCCUGUAAGGGCCACAUUCACAAAUUUCCACCUCCCCUCCCUGGGCGUCCCCUUCCCCACAGAGGUGAGCUGGGGUGAGAAGCACAGAAGCUGUUGGGAAGGCGAAGGCCAGCGGAAGAGAACUCGUGCGGGACUUUUCAAUUUUUCAUCUUGUUUCUAACUCCAUCUAGCCCGUCCUCCUUAAUCAAUAAAACAAGAAUUAGGUCUCAGAUCCAAGAGUCGCUUUCUGUCUUCCAGUUUAUGACUUUGGCCACCUCGCAGUCUUUUAGGGUCGCCGGACCGGCUUCCUGGAAUACCUGAGGUCGCAGAUUCAGGUUCUAAGAGUCAAGAAUUUAGACUGGGCACCAUAAAGGUGGAUUACUGCUGCUCUAUAGUGUCUGAGAUCUGAGCUGGAAAGAUUCAAAUGCCUGGAGGUGACUUGGUGACUAGUGCUGGAAUCUUCUGAAAGUUUCUUUUCUCAUGUAUCUAUUGCCUGUAUUGGAACCACUUGGAGGCUGGGCUCACCUGGGAUUGUCUACAGAGCAUGUACAUUUGGCCUUCCCAUGCAGCUUGGCUUUUUCACAACAUGGUGGCCCCAGGGGUAUCAGCCUUUCUCCAUGAAGGCUUAAGGAUGCAAGCAGAGGUGCUCUAGGGAACAAAGCUGAUGCUGCAAUGACUUUUAUGGCCCAACCUUGGAAGUCAUAAAACAUCAUUUAUGCCCCAUUCCACUGGUAGAAACAUUCACAAACCUGCCCAAGCAGAGGGAAGCUAGACUUUCCACGUGGCACGCAGGGUCAUGCUGAAGAAGAAGAUGUAGAAUGGAAAAUAUCGCUGUGGCAGUCUGGAAAAUAGAAUCUGCCACAGAGUAAAACCUGAAAGUGAUACAGCUUGUUCUGCUCCACAAAUGCUUCUGAGGGGUGAUGAAUAAGCAUGUGGAUGAAUAAGACUCAGUCCUUGAACUUGAGGAAUUCCCAAGGCAAAUGGGGGAGACGGAUAUGUAAAUAAAAACCAUACUGUACAUACUUCUACAGCAUGUAUCAUAUUAG
rnacentral:lncRNA from 10 species